rnacentral:rRNA from 1 species
UAGAGUUUGAUCCUGGCUCAGGACGAACGCUGGCGGCGUGCUUAACACAUGCAAGUCGAGCGGAGACAUGUAACGGAAGGCUUCGGCCGGAAGAUACAUGUUUUAGCGGCGGACGGGUGAGUAACGCGUGAGCAACCUGUCCUUCACAGGGGGAUAAGAUACCGAAAGGUGUUCUAAUACCGCAUAAGACCACAGAGCCGCAUGGCAGAGGGGUCAAAGGAGCAAUCCGGUGAAGGGUGGGCUCGCGUCCGAUUAGAUAGUUGGUGAGGUAACGGCCCACCAAGUCGACGAUCGGUAGCCGACCUGAGAGGGUGAUCGGCCACAUUGGGACUGAGACACGGCCCAGACUCCUACGGGAGGCAGCAGUGGGGAAUAUUGGGCAAUGGGGGAAACCCUGACCCAGCAACGCCGCGUGGAGGAAGAACUCUUCGGAUCGUAAACUCCUGUCCUAAGAGACGAGCAGAGACGGUAUCUUAGGAGGAAGCCCCGGCUAACUACGUGCCAGCAGCCGCGGUAAUACGUAGGGGCAAGCGUUGUCCGGAAUGAUUGGGCGUAAAGGGCGCGUAGCGGCCCUGCAAGUCUGGAGUGAAAUUCCCGAUUUAGUUGGACUGCUUUGGAAACUGCUAGCU